AUUGAACGCUGGCGGCAUGCCUUACACAUGCAAGUCGAACGGCAGCACGGGAGCUUGCUCCUGGUGGCGAGUGGCGAACGGGUGAGUAAUACAUCGGAACGUACCCUGAAGUGGGGGAUAACGUAGCGAAAGUUACGCUAAUACCGCAUAUUCUGUGAGCAGGAAAGAGGGGGAUCGCAAGACCUCUUGCUUUAGGAGCGGCCGAUGUCGGAUUAGCUAGUUGGUGAGGUAAAGGCUCACCAAGGCGACGAUCCGUAGCGGGUCCGAGAGGAUGAUCCGCCACACUGGGACUGAGACACGGCCCAGACUCCUACGGGAGGCAGCAGUGGGGAAUUUUGGACAAUGGGCGCAAGCCUGAUCCAGCCAUGCCGCGUGAGUGAAGAAGGCCCUUCGGGUU
rnacentral:rRNA from 1 species